AAAUUUUCAAAAUGCAUUCCCUUUUUAGUUGUUUCGAUUUAUGUGGUUUGAUAUCUUACAAGCAUGCCCAAGUUUUUUUUUUUACGCUAAAUCAAAACAUGCAUCAACGUUUAAAACGGAAAAAGAACUUUUAUUAUGGCAAAGAUCGACAAGCCAUUAAUCACAAUAAUCAUCAUGCCUAAUUUUGAAAUAUUAACUCAUUAAGCAUAAUCAUUAAACAUGAUUUCAUAAAGCAUUUUCAAUCAAAAUCGAAAAUCAUCAAUUUAGAUACAUAUUAUUUUUUCUUAAAAACAUACAUAGGAUUAAUUGUUAGAUUUAA
rnacentral:lncRNA from 1 species